rnacentral:rRNA from 1 species
AUGGGAAACUACUGCUCGGCGUCUCCAGCAAUCAAGCAGCGGCCAAGGCCGGGCUCCCGGGCUCCGUGCGGCAUCGUCUCUUCCUUCCCCGCCGUCAUCUGUCAGCGUCAUCGUCGUGGUCUGGCCCUUCGCGCCACAACGGUAGAAGAUAGCGACAGAGUGGGAAGGUUUGUGCAAAUAUCUUCUCCUCCAUCCCCGUCCGCGUCAAAGCUGCUGGGUGCAUCCAUCCAACAUCUUCAGAUCUGA